GGUUAAGCGACUAAGCGUACACGGUGGAUGCCCUGGCAGUCAGAGGCGAUGAAGGACGUGCUAAUCUGCGAUAAGCGUCGGUAAGGUGAUAUGAACCGUUAUAACCGGCGAUUUCCGAAUGGGGAAACCCAGUGUGUUUCGACACACUAUCAUUAACUGAAUCCAUAGGUUAAUGAGGCGAACCGGGGGAACUGAAACAUCUAAGUACCCCGAGGAAAAGAAAUCAACCGAGAUUCCCCCAGUAGCGGCGAGCGAACGGGGAGGAGCCCAGAGCCUGAAUCAGUGUGUGUGUUAGUGGAAGCGUCUGGAAAGGCGCGCGAUACAGGGUGACAGCCCCGUACACAAAAAUACACAUAUUGUGAGCUCGAUGAGUAGGGCGGGACACGUGGUAUCCUGUCUG
rnacentral:rRNA from 1 species